CGGCGGUGGCGGCGUCGAUAUGGAGAGCCCCGGAGAUCGAUCCCGCGCCGUGAGGACGGGUGUCCGGUCCCAGGUGCAGCUGGUGGAGUCCGGAGGGGAUGUGAAAAAGCCCGGAGACUCUCUCCGCCUCUCGCUUCACUUUUACUGACUACGAAAUGAACUGGGUCCGUCAGGCUCCUGGGAAGGGGCUAGAGUGGGUGGCUAGGGUUAGCUCCCCAAGCGGAUCGAGCCAGUGGUAUACUAAGGCUGUCGAAGGGCGAUUCACCAUCUCCAGAGACAACUCCAUCACCACGGUAAACUUACAGAUGAGCGGCCUGAAGCCCGAGGACACCGCCGUGUAUUACUGCGCCAGAGACACAGCGAGGGGAAGCCAGUCUGAGCUCAGACAAAAACGUCCCCCCAGCCCCUGCAGACACAGGGAAAGGAAUUUCCUGCGGGUGGCGUUCACGCUCCGCAUCAAUGAAAACAGACACAAAAUAUCGCCCCGCACACAGCUGUACUAGGAGUCAGAGGCUCUGAUUGAAAUCCUCCAGAAAAGGUUUCCUCUGGGAGGUUAGAUCCGGACCUGUCGCUGUGUUCAGGGACGUCAGGAAGCACAGGAGGCACUCGGACCAGCAGCAGCCAGCUCAGGACUGAGAUCACGAUCAGG